CAUUUUCAUUUUCAUUUGCUGCUUGCUUCUUCUUCAAUUUCCGCUGCGAUGGAAUGACCUCUCUCCCCGAAAUAUAAGAACGGAAGUCUCUUCCAAUUUCCAAUUCCAGACGAUGUCAGGACGCUUAUUCAACUCUGCCUCUUCUGAUCUCUCAUCCAAUUGCUUUUCUUUUUCGUCUGCUUCAGUCGUUCCUGACAAGAGCAACGGCAGCACCAGCUGCGGCUUCUCACUGUCCCCUGAUUGUUACCAUGGGAAGAGAAUCCGACGCCAUCCCUUUUCCCGUGGCCGUAGGAGCUGCUGUUCGUCGGAGCCCCUCAACAGUACCAUUUCCACUCCAGUUAAUGUUGCGGCUUCCUCUGCUCCGAGGCCGGCCGCGGCGUCCGCAACGCCGUAUUGGUUCGGUGCCUCCUUCAGCAGUUCUUUUGAGCAGGAGAUAGCAAGAAAAGCAGUUGAAGGUACUGUAAUGCCCGGUUACGCAAAUUCUCAACCGGAAGAUGUGAAGGGAGAUAAAAUUAAAAAUUCUUCAGUAGGAAGUGUUGAAAUUCCCAGACCAGUCUCGGAAUCGCCAUUGCAACUAACGACAGUUUCGCGAUUUCUGAAGGGAAUUCCUCAAAAUCCUCAUUUUCUACAUCUCCGUCGCUACUCUGAACUAACCCAAAAGAAUUUGAUAUCCGGGUGGGAUCGGACAUUCGAAGAAACGGUGGAACAACUCCAGGCUUUGAGGGCGGACAACUUCUGGGUCAAUGCAGGGAAGCUGUGGAAGACAAUGGAGGACCUGCAGAGCCUCGGGUACAACGUGAUUCUGCUGAGAAGAAGGUUGGUGGAGCUCUCUGAAGUGAUGAUGGAGCUCAGACUGUUUAAAUCUGAAGUACUGGAAUUGAAGGAGAAAGCAGAGUUUCACAGGAUGGAGAAAAGUAGGCUGGGGAGUCUGAUAUUGAGUUUGAAGGCCAAGGCGGAAAGAGAACAGGCUAGUAGGGAUGGAAUACUGGAUCAGGUGGAGAAGAUGGAAGAGGAGUUGCCUGUGUUUGCUGGUAAUUUGGCAAACUUUGCAUUGAAGCCAUUGUAGUAUGAACAAUAAGUCUUGUGCAAGCAAGCCGAUGACAAGAAAGCUGAUGAUAUGGGAGUUAAUACGAGCAUUUAGUGAGUGAAAAUCUAGGAAUUUGAAGUAUCAGUGGGGGUAUGAUUUGAUUGCAACCAGAGGGAGACCUUUUCUGUAUCCAAAUCAUGCUCCACUUACAGUCAGAAACUCAAAAAGCCUUCGCAGAUUGAAGAAGGAAUGGAGCAUGGCAAUGUUAUCAUUAUUAUGCAGAAGCUCUUUAUUUAUGACCGCUAUACUUUUCCAUACUUCUUUGCAAGGAAAAGGGGCCACUUUUGCAAGGGAAAAAAGGAAAAAGAAAAGAGAUGAGCAAAGGAAGGAUGAAAAGAAACAAAGAUGCAGGCUUUUCUGGAAGAGAACUCCAACCUUUUUCCAAAGUUGGGGGGUUAUAUAUAUAUAUAUAUAUAUAAGGAAUAAGGUUAGGUUUAUCGAUAGUAUUAUUGUAUUGAAUAUAGAUUAAGUAUUAUAUUUUAACGAUAUAAAAUUUAGUGUUUUAUUUACUCAUUUUUUUUUAUAGUAGGUGAAGUGUAGAUUCAGGUCCUAGAGAUAUAUAUAAUCAUUUAA